rnacentral:rRNA from 1 species
GAUGAACGCUGGCGGCGUGCUUAACACAUGCAAGUCGAGCGAGAAACUUACUUCUGAUUCUUCGGAUGAUGAAGUAAGUGGACAGCGGCGGACGGGUGAGUAACGCGUGGGUAACCUGCCCUAUGCAGGGGGAUAACGCACUGAAAAGUGCGCUAAUACCGCAUAAGACCACAGGAUUACAUGAUCUGGUGGUAAAAACUCCGGUGGCAUAGGAUGGACCCGCGUCUGAUUAGCUAGUAGGUGAGGUAACGGCUCACCUAGGCGACGAUCAGUAGCCGACCUGAGAGGGUGAUCGGCCACAUUGGGACUGAGACACGGCCCAAACUCCUACGGGAGGCAGCAGUGGGGAAUAUUGCACAAUGGGGGAAACCCUGAUGCAGCGACGCCGCGUGAAGGAAGAAGGUUUUCGGAUCGUAAACUUCUAUCAGCAGGGAAGAUAGUGACAGUACCUGACUAAGAAGCCCCGGCUAACUACGUGCCAGCCGCCGCCGUAACAC